UAGUCAUAUGCUUGUCUCAAAGACUAAGCCAUGCAUGUCUAAGUAUAAACAACUUUAUACUGUGAAACUGCGUACAGCUCAUUAUAUCAGCAAUAAUUUAUUUGAUGGUUCCUUACUACUUGGAUACCCGUAGUAAUUCUAGAGCUAAUACAUGCGCAAAGUCCCAACUCUCGCGGGGAGGGAUGUAUUUAUUAGAUAAAAAACCAAUGCGGUCCUUCGGGGCCGGAUACCUGGUGAAUCAUAAUAACUGAUCGAAUCGCAUAGCCUUGUGCUGGCG
rnacentral:rRNA from 1 species